rnacentral:rRNA from 1 species
GACGAACGCUGGCGGCGUGCCUAAUACAUGCAAGUCGAACGCUUCUUUCCUCCCGAGUGCUUGCACUCAAUUGGAAAGAGGAGUGGCGGACGGGUGAGUAACACGUGGGCAACCUACCCAUCAGAGGGGGAUAACACUUGGAAACAGGUGCUAAUACCGCAUAACAGUUUAUGCCGCAUGGCAUAAGAGUGAAAGGCGCUUUCGGGUGUCGCUGAUGGAUGGACCCGCGGUGCAUUAGCUAGUUGGUGAGGUAACGGCUCACCAAGGCCACGAUGCAUAGCCGACCUGAGAGGGUGAUCGGCCACACUGGGACUGAGACACGGCCCAGACUCCUACGGGAGGCAGCAGUAGGGAAUCUUCGGCAAUGGACGAAAGUCUGACCGAGCAACGCCGCGUGAGUGAAGAAGGUUUUCGGAUCGUAAAACUCUGUUGUUAGAGAAGAACAAGGACGUUAGUAACUGAACGUCCCCUGACGGUAUCUAACCAGAAAGCCACGGCUAACUACGUG